rnacentral:rRNA from 1 species
AGUCGAGGGGCAUCAGUUCGGUUUGCUUGCAAACCAAAGCUGGCGACCGGCGCACGGGUGAGUAACACGUAUCCAACCUGCCUCAUACUCGGGGAUAGCCUUUCGAAAGAAAGAUUAAUAUCCGAUAGCAUAUAUUUCCCGCAUGGGUUUUAUAUUAAAGAAAUUCGGUAUGAGAUGGGGAUGCGUUCCAUUAGUUUGUUGGCGGGGUAACGGCCCACCAAGACUACGAUGGAUAGGGGUUCUGAGAGGAAGGUCCCCCACAUUGGAACUGAGACACGGUCCAAACUCCUACGGGAGGCAGCAGUGAGGAAUAUUGGUCAAUGGACGCGAGUCUGAACCAGCCAAGUAGCGUGAAGGAUGACUGCCCUAUGGGUUGUAAACUUCUUUUAUAUGGGAAUAAAGUGGUCCACGUGUGGAUUUUUGUAUGUACCAUAUGAAUAAGGAUCGGCUAACUCCGUGCCAGCAGCCGCGGUAAUACGGAGGAUCCGAGCGUUAUCCGGAUUUAUUGGGUUUAAAGGGAGCGUAGGCGGAUUGUUAAGUCAGUUGUGAAAGUUUGCGGCUCAACCGUAAAAUUGCAGUUGAUACUGGCAGUCUUGAGUGCAGUAGAGGUGGGCGGAAUUCGUGGUGUAGCGGUGAAAUGCUUAGAUAUCACGAAGAACUCCGAUUGCGAAGGCAGCUCACUGGAGUGUAACUGACGCUGAUGCUCGAAAGUGUGGGUAUCAAACAGG